rnacentral:rRNA from 1 species
AUUGAACGCUGGCGGCAGGCCUAAUACAUGCAAGUCGAACGAGUGGCGGACGGGUGAGUAAUGUCUGGGAAACUGCCUGAUGGAGGGGGAUAACUACUGGAAACGGUAGCUAAUACCGCAUACCAUCAGAUGUGCCCAGAUGGGAUUAGCUAGUUGGUGGGGUAACGGCUCACCAAGGCGACGAUCCCUAGCUGGUCUGAGAGGAUGACGAGCGACAAUGGAACUGAGACACGGUCCAAACGCCGACGGGAGGGAGGAGGGGGGAAUAUUGGACAAUGGGCGCAAGCCUGAUGCAGCCGUGCCGUGUGUAUGAAGAAGGACUUCGGGGUGUAAAGUACUUUCAACGAAGAGGCGUUACCCGCAGAAGAAGCACCGGCUAACUCCGUGCCAGCAGCCGCGGUAAUAC